GUAGGGGGUCUUCUCUGACUUAUAGCUUUAGAAACAUAAGUAUUAGACUUGUAGAAAGAUGUUUGCUAUAAGAAAAGUUCUACCAGAAAUUCUCACAAUUCAUUGAGCUCUUGGCAUUCAGAGUAAGAUCAGGCCUGUUCUUAGGGAAGAGCACAGAGAAAGACGGAGAGUAGACAGGCCCUGCACUGGGAUUUGUGGAAGUGUGAUAUGGGAAAGUGAAGCAAGAGAACCUGUAAAAAUCCAAGUCUCUAUUUAUAGGGUAUUGGUUUCCAAAGUACUUUGGCCUCCAAAAUAAGACCCAAGAGACAGGCAAAUUUUCAGUCUUAAAUCCUGGGUUAAUUAAUGGUAGAAGGAAACUUAACUAUAAAUUCAGCUGGAACUGGAGGACGUUGGAAGACGAUGGUCUUCAAAUUUUAUUUUGCCCCCCACAUGGUCAUGAAUCACAUAAUCCCAUGAAGACCAUUUCUUAUCAUACAGUCACUGAUUCUAAAAAAAAUAAAAAAUAAAAAAAAUAAAAGGCACUAUUUGGCCCUUAAUUUAUCAAUACGCCAUAUAACCUGAAAUCAAAAACUAGGUGAUGAAUGUGAAACAGUCUAACUGAACCACUAUAUAAUAAAGACCACAAUAGGGCCAAGUUCAACAUCCAAAAGAGACACGAAGCCCAAAAGCUAUCAUGUGAUUAUUUAAUUCCAGAAAAGGGAACAAUAUGAGAGUGUUGAGGAGGAUAAUGAAAGGAGUAGUUAAAAUGUAAACUGCCCACUGGAGACUAUUUUAAAAUGCUUUUUUGGAGUACCUUGCAAGGAACUCCAAAGUCAAUAAUAAAAGACCCUAUAAAUGCGUCAAGGCAGAAAGCCAACUAGAUAAUCAGUGAGACCCCGAGUUACAAUGGAAGAUGAAAUGGAGACAGCUUUUUUUUUUUCAAUUUGUUAAAGGUGAAGAAAGACAACAUGGAUAUUUUCACUUCCUUUUUAAAAAGAUAUUGAUCAUAAUUGUGGACUCAAACACAAGUAAACCCAAUGGACAGAAGACAAAAGGUGUCCUGAGAACGAAGCCACUGGAUAACAUACAUGACUGCAAGAUGGGAAUAAGUAAAAUGUCCCCAGACAGGAAAAAGAACACUGCUCAAAUUGGACUAAAGGAAUUCUGUACUAAAAUUAGCAGCUGAAACUUUGAGAUACUGGCCUAAGGCUACUGUGACCAAAAAGACCAAUAAAUGCUGGUUUUCCUCUGGAAUAGCAGUGGCCGUGACAUGGCCGUGACACACAAAACCUUGCCUCUCUAGGGGCAAAACCAGAGUGUGGUCACUCCUGUCUGCAGUCCCCACUGCCAGAUCACAAGGAAUAUUAACAAUGGCCACAGCCACCAAGUUGAAUGUCUACCCUUUCACUCUCACAUGCUAAAUAGUACGUAUUUAUUUUAUCUCAAGUUCUUUUAACAUUUCUAUAGUGCAUUCUACUUUUUAUUUACAGAUGGGAUCUGAGGCCCACAUUAGUUGGCCAAGCUGCUCCUGUUUAUAAGCUAGCAAAAAGCUACAGUUGCAACCCCAGAGAGAUCCCCUGUCUUGUAAGGGAGGCUAAAACAAAAAAUAGUCUUCCUCAAUCAGAAAGGCAGAGAUAUAAUGUGAUCAAACCCAAAGUAAUGAAAAGGAUCGUGAGUUCAUUGCCAGAUAAAAUGUUAACCAGGUUGCACCUAGUGUACAAAACCCUGCAGCAGAUAAAAUUAGAAUUGGAAAGUGCUUAACAACACACCUUGAAGUCUGUUCUACAUGAGUACAUACGAGCUUGUUCAGCUCUGUUUUACAGGUCCAUGAUUUUCUUUGUACAGAUGUAACUUUUCAAAAUUGAUUUAUUUAUAAAUAUUUUUUAAGUAAAAAAGAAAAAGAUGUACAAAGUUUAAAAAAAUCAUGCAAUUUGCAAAGUUUUACAAUAAAAAGUGGACGACUUUCCUGCCUCAAACUUAUCACUCCUUCCUAGAGGCCACCAUAGCUCACAAUUCCUUGCACAGUACUUAUUUCUAGAAAAUUUCCCUGCAUGCACACAUCCAUACACAUACAUGGUGCAUGCAUGUUCC
rnacentral:lncRNA from 1 species